GAUGAAACCAGAUGAAGCUCCUCAUGACUCUCAUACCCAUUUUUAACAAGCAGUCCAUCACUGAAUUGAAUGACUGUGUUCAAAAUGGACCCUCUAGUCAUAUGGAAGAGAGUUUGAGAUCAGAUGAAACAACAGCUCCAGCACCUUCAUACCCUUGCCUAAGUGUAAUUGUCAUAAAGGCUGAGUUUUAAAGCUACACUGUGUAACUUUUGGCCCUCUAGCAGUUGAUGCAUGAAACUGCAAAUGACUUGCAGAGUAACAUUGCUUUGGGUGAGACCAGAUCUCCUGCACUCUUAACUGCUGUCUAUUAAAAAUUGAUCAUUCAUUGGAUGGACAGACUGCAUUUCAACAAUGGAGCAAAGUUUCAAGGGAGAGAAGGUGAGAUCAGAAGAGGCACCAUCUCCAGCACUCUCACACCUGUCUGUAAAAAGUGAUCAGUCAAUGGAUCGGCCAAUCGCAUUCAACAAUGAAACCCCUAGUUACAUUGGGUAUGAAAAUCAUAGACCAGAUGAGGCACCAUCUCCUGCAACCUCAUACUUCUCUUUAAAAAGCAGCCAAUCAAUGGAUCGACCUAUUGCAUUUAAAGACAGAACACAACCUUACAGUGUUAAAUGGUGUGAGAACUUAGAGCGUCUUUGGUGUAGAGAACAAUAUNNNNNNNNNNNNNNNNNNNNNNNNNNNNNNNNNNNNNNNNNNNNAGAAUAUAUAUAUAAAGAAUUUUUAGACAGUGUACUAUACUUUCCUUGCAUAUUUUGUAUAUCUCUUGUACAUUGUAUAACUCAAAGUUUCUGUCUCAUCCUUACAGUCGUAGACCAGAUGAGGCACCAUCUCCUGCAACCUCAUACUUCUCUUUAAAAAGCAACCAAUCAAUGGAUCGACCAAUUUCAUUCAAAGACAGAACACAGCCUUACAGUGUUAAACGGUAUGAAAAUUUACAUUCUUUUUUGGCAUAUACUGUAUAUUUAAUCAAAUAACUAUGCUUGCAUAAAUUUCCCACAUCUCCUUACAGUAUAUCAGGCCAGACUGGGACACAAUUUCAGGCUGAGAGUCUCACAUUUGAGAACCCAGAACAAAUUUUAAAAGCACUUAGUGUUCUGUUGUACACUUAAUUUACAUAAAGUUUAAGAAUAAUUUAACAAAUGUUGAGAAGGUUAUACCAUUGUUCUCUUUGUGUUUAUUUUGAAUUUGAAAAUUAAUAUUAGGUUGCUUUCACACUGGUCUUGUUUGCUGUUGUUUGAACCCAAGUGCGAUUGUUCCCGGCACCCCCGCAGCGUUGGCCUGGUUUCAAACUCUCUUGAUUCUAUCAAACCACGGUGCAUUUGCGUUCAUCUUAUGUCAUCACAAACAUGCAAAAAAAGUAUAAUAGAAAACAUAGUGUGGGUCAAUAUAUUGCAACCCUCUACAUUGCGAGUAAAUCACUCGCAUAUGCGACAAUCUUAAUUCUGACGACUAAAUUAUGUCUAAUAUUAGCCAAUGGCUAAUAAAUUCUCAGAUUUUACUCGCCA
ensembl:lncRNA